rnacentral:rRNA from 1 species
UACGUAGGCCCCGAGCGUUGUCCGGAUUUAUUGGGCGUAAAGCGAGCGCAGGUGGUUUAUUAAGUCUGGUGUAAAAGGCAGUGGCUCAGCCAUUGUAUGCAUUGGAAACUGGUAGACUUGAGUGCAGGAGAGGAGAGUGGAAUUCCAUGUGUAGCGGUGAAAUGCGUAGAUAUAUGGAGGAACACCGGUGGCGAAAGCGGCUCUCUGGCCUGUAACUGACACUGAGGCUCGAAAGCGUGGGGAGCAAACAGG